UAGAAAGACACUGAAAAGGGUUUUUGAUGGUCCUUGAAUUUUUCAAACGUUCUCAUUUGAGUUCUCAAACUUUCAAAUCAAUCAAUGUGAUCCUCAACACUUUGUUUGGAUGAAGGAAUUGAAACCCUGAAAAACAGAGUUAAGAAUUACAUAUUUUGCUCAAUAAGGCUGUGUACUCUCCUUGACGAAACAUGAAUGUGAAACCCUAAAUAGAAAGUAGUUGAUUUUGUUGAGCAAAAAUUUGAGUUUUAGGACUAAAUUGAGCUAAAUUUUGAUGCAAUAUCCUUUAAAGUUGAUGAGGUGAUGAUAUGUGACCAAUUUUAACAAACUUUUGUUGGAAUGCGACAAUAAAGACCAAAUUGAUGUGUAGACCAAAAUAUAAGAAUCAUAUUGAUUGAUUUGAACAUUUGAGGACUAAAAUAAGAAUUUUAAAUAGAGUACCUGUAAUAAAAACCCAUCAUCAAUAACCCUUCCCUCAAUGCCACCAAUUCAGUGCCUAAUACAUUCAGCCUAGGUGGACUGAAAGUAGCAAACCCACAUAUGAAUCUCCCUGCAUUAUCUCUACAAAAGCCCCCCAAACCUCUCCUUUCUCCUUCAUGGUCCAAAGCACCAUCACAAUUAAGAAUAAUGGUAUGUAGAGGCCGAGGAAGUGAAAGAAUCUAGGUCAAGAGGAGGUUCCUUGCUUGGCCGAUCAAUCAUUUGAUCAGAAGUUAGAAGCACGACAUAUCCAUCUACUCACAUUCCAUUCAAGCCCAAAUUUGUGGCUUGGUGGUGGCACGCUCCUCAUUCAAAAGAAGAAGGACCAAAAGUUCCUUCUAUCGGCCACCUCGGUCGAAAAGAGGGAAACAGGUAUUAAAGUGAGGAGAGUAUGGUUUACAACCUUGACACUAGCCCCUUCAUUCAAAAUAUUCAAGCAAAAAUUCACUACAUCAUCCGCAACUGUCCCCCAAUAUUUUUAAUAGAUGUUUUAAUUAAACCCUGUAAAUAUUCAAGUUCACCCAACAAUAAUUUUUUUUUAAAAACACAUUUAAAUUCAAGUUUAACCCAAUUAAUAAAAUUUCCCUAAUGUCACUACUACAAAAAGUGAAAAAGACGACCAAAAAAAUACGAUGGUUUAACGGAAAACCGUCGUUGUGUUUGAAAAGACGACGGUUUUAUAAAACCGCCAUAUAUGAUUAAUUUAAACACCUAAAAAAUGGAGAUUCCAAUGGGUGUUUUUAAAAAAUGACACACCUAAUUAAAAAAGCGACGUCUUAUUGAAAAAGGUUUUCCUCAGAGUACACUCUAAGCCCACAAACAACGGCAGAAGGUAUGAAUCCAUCGACGUAGAAAGUAAAGACGACGGUGUAAAGAAACAGCCGCCGUUUUUACUCCGUAAUAAACACAACCAAGUUUUCGUAUCCGGCGCCAUAUAAUUUUCAAAGAAUCCACGGCGUUAUAUUACAAAAUACCG
rnacentral:lncRNA from 1 species